rnacentral:rRNA from 12 species
GACUCUAGCGAGACUGCCGGUGUCAAACCGGAGGAAGGUGGGGAUGACGUCAAGUCCUCAUGGCCCUUACGCCCAGGGUGGCAAACGUGCUACAAUGGCGUGUACAAAGCGAUGCAAUAUCGUGAGAUGGAGCAAAUCGCAAAAAGCACGCCCCAGUUCGGAUUGGAGUCUGCAACUCGACUCCAUGAAGUCGGAAUCGCUAGUAAUCGCGUAACAGCAUGACGCGGUGAAUACGUUCCCGGGCCUUGUACACACCGCCCGUCAAGCCAUGGAAGUUGG